CUUUUAUUAAAGAAGAAUGAUAUAAAUAGGCAAUGAUUUAUAAGUGACGUUAUUUAAUGAAUAAGUCCCGGCUAACUAUGUGCCAGCAGCCGCGGUAAUACAUAGGGGACGAGCGUUAUCCGGAAUAAUUGGGCGUAAAGGGUGCGUAGGCGGUGUGUUAAGUUCAAGGUUUAAUCGUAGGGCUCAACCCUAUAUCGCUUUGAAAACUGGCACACUAGAGUAAGAUAGAGGCAAGUGGAAUUCCAUGUGUAGCGGUAAAAUGCGUAAAUAUAUGGCAGAACACCAGAGGCGAAGGCGGCUUGCUGGGUCUUCACUGACGCUGAGGCACGAAAGCGUGGGGAGCAAACAGGAUUAGAUACCCUGGUAGUCCACGCCGUAAACGAUGAGCACUAAAAGUCGGGGAUACUCGGCUUUCAAGUUAACGCGAUAAGUGCUCCGCCUGAGUAGUACGUACGCAAGUAUAAAACUCAAAGGAAUUGGCGGGACCUCGCACAAGCGGUGGAUCAUGUUGUUUAAUUCGUUGAUACGCGAUGAACCUUACCAGGCCUUGACAUACCUUGCAAUGCAUCAGAAAUGAAUGCGGAGGUUAUCAGGGAUACAGGUGGUGCAUGGUUGUCGUCAGCUCGUGUCGUGAGAUGUUAGGUUAAGUCCUGCAACGAGCGCAACUCUUAUUGCUAUUUGCCAUCAUUCAGUUGGGCACUAUAGUGAGACUGCCAGUGAUAAACUGGAGGAAGGUGGGGAUGACGUCAAAUCAUCAUGCCC
rnacentral:rRNA from 1 species